rnacentral:tRNA from 1 species
CGGGAAGUAGCUCAGCUUGGUAGAGCACUUGGUUUGGGACCAAGGGGUCGUAGGUUCGAAUCCUGUCUUCCCGAC